rnacentral:tRNA from 1 species
GCGUGGGUAGUACAGUGGUUUAGUAUCUCUGCCUUCCAAGCAGAUGACCCGGGUUCGAGUCCCGGCCCGCGCA